ensembl:lncRNA
GUAGACACAAAUAGACAAUCUCAAGAUUCUCUGCUCCCGCAUACUACACCAUGGGGAAGGAGGGGAGAGAAGAGAUCAUCUCAAUUUCUUGAGCUUCAGUGGUCUAUAAAACUCUGCCCCCUUCAUCUGGGAAGGGAUGAUACCCUCCGUAGCUGAAGCUGCCAACAGUGAAUACACAUCAGAAAAGACCCACGUUUAGUAACUUCAUUAAUAACAGGCUCUAUGUUGAAAGCAGGACUCCAUCAUGGGCUGGACUGUGGACGUUGAGCUAUGUGGCCAGUAUCUAUGGAAACAACACACCAACUGGAAAACCAGGCCCCUGGAAGGAAGAGCCCCAGGGCUCUCCGUUGCCUAAAAGAAUACCCUAAUUAUUUGUGUAACCGAAUAGAAUCAGACAUUCUAUUAUGCUUAUUGGGGUAUGACCACAGGCCUAUUGAUAAUUGUCCACUGUUAAGUACUCUUGCCUGGAAAAUCCCAUGGAUGGAG